AUUAAUUCGAUGCAACGCGAAGAACCCUUACCAAGGCUUGACAUGUGCCCAGACCGCUCCAGAGAUGGGGUUUCCCUUCGGGGCUGGUUCCCAGGUGGUGCCAUGGUUGUCGUCAGCUCGUGUCGUGAGAUGUUGGGUUAAGUCCCGCAACGAGCGCAACCCCUCGUUCCCAUGUUGCCAGCACGUAGUGGUGGGGACUCAUGGGAGACUGCCGGGGUCAACUCGGAGGAAGGUGGGGAUGACGUCAAAUCAUCAUGCCCCUUAUGUCUUGGGCUUCACGCAUGCUACAAUGGCCGGUACAAUGGGUUGCGAUACUGUGAGGUGGAGCUAAUCCCUAAAAGCCGGUCUCAGUUCGGAUUGGGGUCUACAACUCGACCCCAUGAAGUCGGAGUCGCUAGUAAUCGCAGAUCAGCAACGCUGCGGUGAAUACGUUCCCGGCCCUUGUACACACCGCCCCGUCAAGUCACGAAAGUUGGU
rnacentral:rRNA from 1 species